rnacentral:rRNA from 1 species
GACGUAGGGCGCGAGCGUUGUCCGGAUUUAUUGGGCGUAAAGAGCUCGUAGGCGGCUUGUCGCGUCGUUCGUGAAAAACCUGCAGCUCAACUGCAGGCUUGCGGUCGAUACGGGCAGGCUGGAGUUCGGUAGGGGAGACUGGAAUUCCUGGUGUAGCGGUGAAAUGCGCAGAUAUCAGGAGGAACACCGGUGGCGAAGGCGGGUCUCUGGGCCGAUACUGACGCUGGAG